rnacentral:rRNA from 1 species
GCUACGGCCAUACCAGCCUGGGUACGCCCGAUCUCGUCUGAUCUCGGAAGCUAAGCAGGGUCGGUCCUGGUUAGUACUUGGAUGGGAGACCGCCUGGGAAUACCAGGUGCUGUAAGCA